UACGUAUGGUGCAAGCGUUAUCCGGAUUUACUGGGUGUAAAGGGAGCGUAGGCGGCGCGUUAAGUCUGAUGUGAAACCCCGGGGCUCAACCCCGGGCAUGCAUUGGAAACUGGCGGGCUGGAGUGCCGGAGAGGUAAGCGGAAUUCCUAGUGUAGCGGUGAAAUGCGUAGAUAUUAGGAGGAACGCCAGUGGCGAAGGCGGCUUACUGGACGGCAACUGACGCUGAGGCUCGAAAGCGUGGGGAGCAAACAGG
rnacentral:rRNA from 1 species